CCGCGGGCUUCGCGCCGGCUCGCUUAGGCUCCGGCGCGGGCGCAGCCAGGACCCCGGCCCGGUGCGGAGCGCGCCCUCCCCCACGCCAUCUGGGCCUCCGGCGGCCCAGGCCCGUCCCGCCUCCCCACGGCCUUCCGCGGCUCGGUGUCGCACGCUGCCCCGGUGGCGGGCGGACGGCAGCGCGGGCCGCCGGUGAGCCGGGGCGCGCAGGGGCCGAGGACGCACGCGGCCGGACGGGCGGCGCGCGCUCCCCUCCCCCGCGGCCGGCAGCGCGAGCCGCCGUGACGUCACGGGCGCCCGCCUGCCCUGCGCUCCACCGGGCAGAGCGUGCGCGGCCGCCGAGCACAUGGGCCCGCGGGCCGGCGGGCUCGGGGCGGCCUGGCCCGGGAGGAGCGGCGAGGGGGCGCCAGCAAGGAUGGGCCUCGGCACCCCCGGCCCCCGGCGAGUGGAUUUCCACGCGGGAAGGAGGUUGGCGGCGCCGGUGACCUUCGGAGACACGGCUGGAUCCACCUUCCAGACCUCAUGCUGAAAAGAGAGCAGUUGACUCCCAGGAACAGGGUUUCUCCAGCAAGCUCUGUGCGACAUCCCUGCAUCACUGUCACCCAGGGACCUGUGGAGUAGACCCCGCCCCAGGCCUUCUGAUCAGAAUUGCUGCCUGAUCUUUUGACCAGAAAGAAAUUAAAAAGAUACCUGUCAUGCUGGCUGCGCCCGUCAGCUGCAUGCAGCUUCGUUCAAGGAUUUUUGGAGCCCUGUGGAUUUACAGUGAUACUCGGCCGCCUGGGGGAUCACGCUGGUGGACGCAUUCUCUGGAAUUAAGUAUCCCGGCACAUUUCUGGAUGCUGAAGGUGGUUUUAAGGAAGGCCCCGGCUGAGCACCUUGUGGAUCCCUGCAGCCUGGACGCCUGUGGGGGACAGAGGACUGAGCUCUCUGUCCUUCUCUCGGACUGAAAUGUUCGGUUGGGUCCCUGCCAGCUCCCUUGGGGGCUCCCUAUGAAACAAUCCUGUUACACCUGGGAUUUAGGUGCCUUCAAUCUGGAAAAAAUACAUAUCCGUUCAGCACUCCAGAGGGACUUCAGAGCUGUCCUUCCCUGAACUAAAGCUGGAGUAUUUUAGGAUUUGGAGAAUUAAGGAAGAUUAGCCCUGAGCUAACAUCUGCUACCAAUCCUCCCCUUUUUGCUGAGAAAGACUGGCCCUGAGCUAACAUCCAUGCCCAUCUUCCUCUACUUUCUAUGUGGGACGCCUACCACAGCAUGGCCUGUCAAGCGGUGCCAUGUCCACACCCAGGAUCCGAACCAGCAAACCCCGGACCGCCGAAGUGGAACGUGUGCACUUAACCGCUGCACCAUGGGGCCGGCCCCUGAUUUUGCCAAUUUUUUUUGAGCACAUGCUUCCUCUUCUAUACAAGAGAUCUUCCCCCCGAAUCUGUGUGACUACCCAUUUGUAGAGAGUUUCUGAAACGGUGAGGAAACUACUGCUCAGAGAUGUGAAAUAACUCAGCAGAGGUCACACAGCUAAUAAGUGACAAACAGGAAUGUCCAAGCAGUGAAGGUCAUUUCCAGUCGCCGAGUCUUUCACAAGCCCAUGUCUGGACCGGGACAUCUCAUGUCUCAUCGUGAGCAGGAGACUGGAAAAUAACUGGCCGGAGGGGAUAGGCCCAGCAGUAACACUGGCCCAGAGAGAAUUGAGUGCUUUUUCCCGGUGACAAGAAGACACACGCAGCUGGAAAAAGGAGCCUAGGCCGUCACCAUGUUCCCCAAAUAGCAGAACACCUCCCUCCUUCCCACCUUCUCUCCCGUGGCACAGAAUACGUUUUACCAGGGAUCGGUCACUGCUGAGCUGUCGUCACUUAAUGUGGCUUUGACAGAAUAGUUGGUCUGGAAAUCUUAUUUUCAAUUAAAUGACCUUAUUGAACUGCCUUGGUUUUGAAAAGAUUCCAUUAGGAUGGCUAAUUAUAUAGCAGUUGCUCCAAGGAGAUGCUGGCACUCCAUUUCAGCUCUUAAGUAAUUCGAAUCAAAUGCUGUCUUCUUUCCUCCUUGGAGCUGUGAGCGACCGUCUUCCUCUCACACUGCAGGCUUCUCGUGAGUUAUUUUUGGAAAUCCAAGUCAAAACAGCAAUUUUGGCAGAGGCCAUUUCUAGCCUAGCAGAGUAAACCGUAUGUACUGAUAAAAACAGCCGAAGAGUCAGUGCCUUUAAAAAGCAACUAAACCAUCUCCUUCUGUGGGGGUUAAAUUUGGGGGACCUCCAAACUGUCCUUUGUACUGUCCUAUUCCUUCGUGAGCUCUAACUGAAGUCAAAGACAUUGGAAUUCCUUUAAGAUUAGCAAAGCUUUGUCCGUUUGCAAACUGUCAUCAUGGUCAUUUUGUUUCAAGGUGGCAGGCCUUGGCAGAAUUUACCAGGCACUCUGUUUUGGCCUCUGGAUCUCCCCUGAAACGUGGAAAUCACUUUCUGUUCCCAUUCUGUGCUGUUUGCUUCUGUCACCAGAGCACUCGCGACAUUCCUCGCGACAUUCCUCGUUACGCAUACCAAGCAGUCAGAUCUUCCUGCUCACCCGUUAGAACGGAGCUUCUUGUGGCCAGGGGCUGUGUUUUUCAUCUUAUUUCCUUCCUGGCCCAUAAUAGAUGCUCAAAUAGUUGGAUGAAUAGAUAGACUAGAUAGAUGAAUGAAUAGAAUCCUAUUUCUAUUUUUCUCCUUUUUAAAAAAAAAAUCAAUCAUUUAUUACAUAAAUAGUAAAUGAAUGUUUUCACCUUGGGGGGAAAAAACAGUUUCCAAAUAAGGUUAAAGUCCUUUUUUUUUUUUCCAGUUUUCUUUUUUUUUAAAGAUUGGCACCUGAGCUAACAACUGUUGCCAAUCUUCCUUUUUCUUUUUUCCUGUUUUUUCUCCCCAAAUCCCCCCAAUACAUAGUUGUGUAUUUUAGUGGUGGGUCCUUCUAGUUGUGGCGUAUGGGACACCACCUCACUGUGGCCUGAUGAGCGGCGCCAUGUCUGUACUCAGGAUGCGAAUCAGUGAAACCCUGGGCCGCCGAAGCAGAGCACACGACCUUAACGACUUGGCCCCAGGGCCGGCGCCUGAAGUCCUUUUUUGAUCACUGCCCAUGAUCCUUGUUUCCCCAUCAUCUCUGCUUAGGUUAUCCCUUUGGAGCACAUCCUCACAGACCUCUCUAAUGCGUUUAUGUACACGCACAUACACACACACAGAGUACUGUUUUUGUAGACCUGUGAUAAAGAGAUUAUUCUGCAACUUGCCUUUUCCUACUCAGCAAUAUAUCAAGUGCUAUCCAUGUCAGCUACCUUAUUCUUUGUAACUGCUACAUAGUUUUAUUACGUUGUGUGGCUAUAAUACCUUUUAUGUGGACCAAAUAAAUAAAUUCCUUAUCUGUUUUCAUGCUCAUUAUAGUUCAGGAUCCCUUCUCCUGUAUAUGUUGACAAACUAACCCUGUCCACUGCUAUCUUUUGGUAGCUACAGUACAUUUCAUCAGAAUCAGCCAAUUGCCCUGGGGAUUUUGCUAAACCAGUAGACAGAAUCAUGAGAAAUGAAAUGAGGGUUGCCAGAGGGACCUGAAUUCCCUUCUCUGCAGAAGCUAGGGAAGUAGGUGCACUCUGCACUGGGAAUACCACAGGUCUGGAGAGCGAGGGAUGUUAGAUUUCCUCGGGCAGGUCAUUUCCUAUCCCUGGACCUUAUUUUUCUCAUCUGCCCAAUGGACUCAGUGAGCCUCUUUCAACUGUUAGACCCUGAAUAAUAGGGCUGACACAGUGCCACCAGAACGGAUAAACAGAAUAUAUUAACUCUCUCUCCGCUAUGUGGCGGGAUGGGAAAGGGGCACGUUAAAAAUACUUUUUACGGGCCGGCCCCGUCGCCGAAUGGUUAAGUUCAUGUGCUCUGCUUUGGUGGCCCAGGGUUUGGAUCCUGGGCGCGGACAUGGCACUGCUCAUUAGGCCAUGUUGAGGCAGCAUCCCACAUGCCACAACUAGAAGGACCCACAACUAAAAUAGACAACUAUGUACUGGGGGGAUUUGGGGAGAAAAAAAAAGCAGGGAAAAAAAUAGAUUGGCAACAGUUGUUAGCUCAGAUGCCAAUCUUUAAUUAAAAAAAUAUGUAUUUUAAUUAUAUUUUUAUUCUAUUUUAAUUAAGAUAAAUUUUAAAAUUUUAAAAUAGAGAUUCAGCCCAGAGCCCUUCACUGUGUUCAUGUCACAAAGAGUCUGUGAUUGGCCAGGAAUGCACUGCCUCUAGAUCUCACACUUCUCUCUUAUUCUUUUCUUAUCCAAUUAAAAUGUUUAUAUUUUUUCCUUUGCUUUGUGUGGUCUUUUUGUCCUAAGCAAGGCAAUCGGGUGUUGGGGAGAGAGAUUAUGGACUCCUGAGUUCGACCAUCAGGUUUGUCUAGUUCUAGCUGUGUGUUCUUAGACAAGUCACUAACCUUCUCUGGGUUUCCAUCUAUUAAUAUGGUGAUUCCAAAUUAGCCAAGUAUUCAGUAAAAAAAACAAAAACAAAAGGUAAAACCAGACUCGCUUGUGAAUGUUUCAUCUGGCAUUUAUGAACCUUGUCACCUGCGGAUAGAUCAUCUCGUGAAUUGAUGAGGCAUCCUAAGAGACCACCAAAACUCAUUAAAUAGUCUUGGUUCACAUGAGAACUGUGCAGCUGCUCUGGCCCCUGGUGACACACCAAGUGUCAGUGGGUUCUGAGGGAGGCCCAGGGAAGGUUCUGUGCUGCCAUGAUUCAUAGGUUGAGUUUCCCUCUAAGCUUCAAGGCUUUGAUCACGUGUCCCCUGCUUUGAGAUGCAGGACCACAAGGGUCACAGGAUCUGAUUCACACACUGGUGGGUUUCCCUUGGGGUCCCCAUCAGGCUUUCCCAUGUAGGGUGAGAGUUCUCGUCCCUUGUCUUGGCAUUACACAUUGAUCUGGAGACACCAUGGUUCUGCAGGUGAAAGGUUGGGGUGAAUGGGUGUGAAAAGUGCGUGGGAGUCACAGCCCCAAAAGGUCUCUGGGAGUUUGUCUUUCCUGCUCCCAACACUGUUUUGCAUCUCUACCGUGAGCUUCUGUUUCUGAGCACCCCUUGAGCUAAGCUGAUCUGUUGAGCCGAUCUGUGGAGGAAUGAGGCCACUGUGAGCUACCUGCCGGGGCAGGUGACCUCACCCCUCCCAGCCUCUGCUUCCCACCCCGCUGGGUCUUUAAUAUGAAAUGAGACUGCAGUAGGUGCUGAGCUCGCAUCACCUUCCCAUUCCGCUUUCUGAUAUGGAAAGCAUCAUUUUAUAGGCUCUGAAUCUGUGUUCUGAGCUUCCAAAAGCCUACUGUAAACAUUUUACACAUUAACCAAAAUAAAACAAGAAGGCAGCACAGUGAAUGGAGAGAAUAUUAUUAGCAUGUUACACAUCUUAAAUUGGUAAAAAAAAAAAAAAAAGGAAUGAUGGAUCAUUUUCAUUUACGACUCUCACUCCCUGCUAAUUUUUCAGCAGCUCUCUCCUCGUCUCAAUAAAAUGCUGGAAAUCUAGUUGGCAUUGUUGCAAGUAAAUGCAGAGCCAGUCUCGACUGUCGCGCUGUCUCUCCCUGUAUUUGAUCCUCAUCCAGGUGAUCGAUACCAUUUUCAUUCAUAAUCCGGAAACUUUAAGAAAUGAAUCAGCUUGACCUAUGAUUCACAGAUACUUGAUCUGAAAUACUUGAUGUGGUUGUGAGGGGGUGGGAGGUAGAGUCAGAAAUAAAUUCCGUUGACCCCGAAAGUCAGCUUAGGUGAACUAGUAUGGUGGGGGAGGGCGAAUUAUCAUCCUGUGGUUUGUGUGGAUGGUUCCUGCUCUCAGGGAGCUGCACUGUAUUGGGGGGACUUAAGGUGGCCACACAACCAGGGUUGAUGAAAGAAUUCCAGGUUAUGCCCGUUGCUGCAGCCUCUUAGACGGUUAACGUGCCCUUCCACUAGCAGAAGUGUCACAGUGUGGAAAUAGAGGGUUCUGAAGAGACUAGACUGGGAGUUCUUAAAGGUCAGAGGUCUCAUUUUAUUCAUAUGUGCAUCCCCAGCGCCUGGCCUCUCGUAAGCAGUUAAUAAAAGAAAGACUUGCUAGGUGGGUGAGUGAGAACGUAAGUAGAUUCUUCACCUCCACUCUCUGAAUUUGGUCUCUGAAUUUCUGUUUCCCGUUUAUCUUUGUGUGCUCGGGCCGCUAGGGUGCCUCUACUGCGUUUUGACUGAACCAGAGAUUUCAGAACUUCAGCUGGGAAUCGCUUUGGUUGCAUGUACACGCCCUGGUGACCUGUAGCUUCACGACUUGCGGUGCGUUAUCCAAAUGAGUUUAUAACUUACCGAAGUACUGAAAACAGUGGCUUCCAUGAUGUCUCCUCCCAAGAAAUGGUGGUGGAGGUGGAGGUGAUGCUAUUCUUGUUAGCUGUCUGUCUUUGCUGCCUCUUGUCUUUUCUCCCCUAGCUAGAGGAUUCAUAGACCUUUAAAUACAUAUGUAUUUCAAAAAUAUAAGAAAUUGGAAAAAGAGAGUCAGAAAGCUAUCCAUAAUGUCAUGACCCUUGGUUACAUAGUAGCAAUUAUUAUUAAUGUGUGACUUGUUUUAUACAAAGUUUUUUACAUAGUUGUUAUCUUAAGGAGUUUUCCACUUUUUCUUCCAUCUGUAUUUUUCUGCAAGCAUUGCCCAUGUUAUUUGAGAACCUAUUCAACUACCAUUUGUUACUUUUAUCCAUAUGGUUGCUGGUAGAUGGUUGUUUACUUUUUUCCCUUUCGUAAAAGAAAUUUUCCUUCUGGGCUGUCCUGUAUCUCAAGAAAAUCUCAAAAGUGAAAUUAUUGGAUCAAAAGAUAUGAAUGUUGUUAAAUUAUAUGUAUAUCUAUAUUUAAAUGAAUAGAAUUUAUUUUUUAGAGAAAUUUUAGGUUUACAAAAAAUUGCGUAGAAAGUACAGAGAGCUCCCACAUCCUAGCCCCACCCCCAUUCCCCAUAUUGUUAACAUCUUGCAUUAGUAGGGUGCAUUUGUUACAGUUCAUGAACCAAAACUGAUACUUAUGGCUAAAGUCCAUAGUUUACAUUUAGGAUUCUGUGUUAAAUGGUUCUUUGGGAUUUUCGCAAAUGCAUAAUGUCACGUAGCCACCAUUAUAGUAUCAUGCAAAAUGGUUUUACAGCCCUAAAAAUCCCCUGGGCCCCUGUUAAUCCCUCCCUCCCUCCCUCUCUCAAACCCUUCGCAACCAGUGAUCUUCCACUCUUUCCAUCGUUUUGCCUUUCCCAGAACGUCAUAUAGUUGGAAUCACACAGUAUGUAGGCUUUCAGACAGGCUUCCUUCACUUAGCAGUAUGCGUUUAAGAUUCCUCUCCGUGUCUUUUCAUGGCUUGAUGGUUCAUUUCUUUUUAGGGCUAAAUAGUAUUCCGUGUCUGGAUGUACUACACUUUAUCUGUUCACUUACUGAAGGACAUCUUCAUUACUUCUAAGUUUUGGCAAUUAUGAAUAAAGCUGCUAUAAAUAUUCGUCUGCAGGCUUUUGAGGGGACAUGUUUUCAACUCAUUUGGUUAGACACCAAGGAAAGUGAUUGCUGGAUCACAUGGUAAGACUAUUUCUGUAAGUAACUGCCAAAGCUUUCUAUUUUUUACGUUUAUUCAACAGAUUUUAGUUGUAAUACCAUGAACAUGGUUAAUCCUCCAUCUACACUUAGUGUUAUAAUGAACACCCUCUCCUCAGUCUUUUUUUGUGUGUGAGGAAGAUUGGCUCUGAGCUAACAUCUAUGCCAAUCUUCCUCUAUUUAUUUGGGAUGCUGCCACAGCAUGGCUUGACGAGCAGUGCUAGGUCCACGCCUGGGAUCCGAACCUGAGAACCCUGGGCCACCAAAGCAGAGCACAUGAACUUAACCACUAUGUCAACAGGCUGGCCCCCUCUCCUCACUUUUAAGCCUACCGCUACCAUGUCACACAGAGAUGCUCAGAGUGGUGUUUUCAUCUGGAUCCAAGUAUAUUGUGGCCACAAAGUCUCAUAGCAUAAAAAUAGCAACAACAACAAUAAUAAUCUUGAUGAUAAUAAUAGCCAAGAAUUAUUGAUUACUUAGCAUUGUCAGGCUCUUUACAUGUGUUAUUUCAUUUCACCAUUACAGCUACCCUCUGGUUAGGUACCAUUACUACCCACAAUUUGGAGAUAAGAUCGAGGCUUAGGGAGAGUGAAUAACUUGCACAAGUGUUAGUGGUAAAGCCAAGUGUGCGUCCAUCUAGUUUUGCUCGACUCUGCUCAGCAAUGUAUUAUGCCAGAGUUAAGAGCAUGAGAUUUAGAGUCAGAUGGACGUAGGUUAGUAUUCUGGACCUACCAUUUUGCCAGUCAUGUGAUCUUGACCUGGUGACUUCUAGCUGCAGUGUGCCCAUCUGUAAAAUGGGAUAAUAACACCUACCCAUGGCAAAUGCUGUCUGUUGUCUCCUCAAUAGCUAUGGCCUCCCCACCACACAGAACCAGGUUCAGGUGUUAGGGAAGAGGCCCCAGAUCUCAGGGAAGAGAGGCCCCAUCCCAGCCUCCUGAAAUGAAUCAAGAUUGGUUUAAGUCAGAUAUGGUAAUGGUGGGCAUGUUAUCUAGUUUUGUUGGGGUAAGCAUGCUAGGGAGGGGUUCUCUUCCCAAGUAAAAAGACAAAGCCCCCCAUAGGGGAAGCUCAUACUUAUCUUUUCUUCCUGCCUGGAUGUUGGGCAUGAUACCUGGAGGUGCAGCAGCCAUCUUGCAAGCCUAAGCUGACAAGCUAAUAGACUAAAAUGGUAGAGCAGAAAAGAUAGAAAGAGCCUAGGUCAUUGACAGCAUCGUUAAGCUGUUCGACCAGCCCAAGACAGAAGACUACCUCCACGCUUUUUGCUAUUGAAACAGUUCUUACUUGUUUAUGCCACCCCAAGCUGAGUUGUCUUCUCUUUGCAGCUGAGAGCAUUUCUAAUAGAUAAACAGUUUUCCACCAAAGCACAGGGUUGAGUAACUUAGUAUGAUGGUUGAGAGCCCAAAUUCUAGACUUGGAGUUCUGGGGUUUUAUUCCUAGUUCUUCCACCAACCAGCUGUGUGACCUGGACAAGUCACUGAGCUUCUCUGUGCCUCACUGUCCUCAUCUGUAAAAUUCCCAAUAAAUGUGUACUGGGAUCGAAUGAGGGAUAAUAGUGCUACUUACCUCCCAAGAUUAUUAUGAGCGUUCAUAAAAUGACUAAGUAUUUUAUAAAAUGACUAGAGCAUAGCCCGACACAUAGUAAGUGGUUAUACGCAUGUUUGUCAAAAAAAAAACAAUUAAAGAAAAGGAGUCACUAUUACUGGCUUCAGUUUGAACCCCGAUGUGAUCCUUGGGCCACAUGCAGUAUUCAAGCAGAAGCUUGACCCUUUCACUCCCCAGACUCAUGGAGCAUGAAGCUCCCACUAAAAUCUGUCUCAAAGCAGCAACAGGUGGUUUCUUUUUAACAGAAAAGAUUCCUUAGAGCAGGUUGACUUAAAACAGGAGGGGCUGUGAUAUCAAGGCGUGUCAGGGAGUGAAUGACCGAAAUACCCAAACUUGCCCAUGCAAAUGGCUCUGAGUCUCCCCUGACUGCCCUUUAGAAGGUUCUAGACUUCUGUGAACUCCUUUUUGAAAGGGUCUUUCCACCAGUGGCUUAUUCUUUUGAAUCUCCUUACACCUUUCUUGCUGGUGGCUGGUGGGUGGGAGUGGGGAGGAAGGGGUGACACCUGCCUGCGUUCGGGGCCCUUUUCCCUUGUGAGGGACGAGACCGCUGGCCAGUAUGUGAGGGAGCUGGCUGGACCUGGUCUCUCUCACUGUCUACUGCCCACAGUGCCAUCCUCUGUAAAGAGCAGAUUUGAAUUUGGGCAGCAACUCAGCAUUUUUUGGAAACCUAUCUCGUUUGUGAGCUUAAAGAUAGACGUGCCCAUUACCAAAUCCAGUGGAAUCUUCCUUCAAAAUAUAUGCCUGUUCCACUCCUCACCCUCGCCUCCAGAGACAGUCCACACCAGGCCACCUCCCCUUCUGCCUGGAUUACUGCCUCGUAACUGGCCUUCCCGUUUCUACCCUCCCCUUCCUUCUCCCUCAGCAGCCAGGGGACCCUUUAAAAAUGUCAACCAAAUCAUUGGACUCACCUGCUGAGAACCCUCCAAUGGAGUCCCAUCUCACUUGGAAUAAAGUCCUCAGUCCCUACUGUGCCCUACGAGGCCCUCCCUGCCACCCCCGCUCACUCUACUCUCCCCACUGGCCUGGCUGUCAGUCAAACAUACCUAAGCACAGGCUGGCCUCAGGGCCUUAGCACGGAAUGUUCCCCUUUUUCCCUCUAUACCUGCCUGGCUCAUUUCCUCACCUCAUUCAGAUCUCUGCUCAGAUGUCAACUCCCAGAGAGGCCUUCCCUGGUCACCCCCUCUAACACAGGUCCCCUCACCCCUCAUUUUCUGUCGUUAUCUAUAGUUCAUAGACUUGCUGACAUUAUUACAAAUUUGGUGACUUUCUGCCUUCCCCAUCAGAAUAUAAGCCCUACAAGGAAAGAGGCAUUGUUUUGUUCAUUCAGGUACCCACAGAACCCAGAACAUUCUGCAAUUGGUGCUCAGUAUAUAGUAAACUAGAUAAAGCCUUUUUUUGGACAGAAAUAAGGUCUGUCUGACAAAGUUCUAAGCCUGAUGUCUCUUGUGAACCUGCCAAGUUGACCCUGAAUCCACUUCCCGGAAAGCUCCAGAUACAUUCUGGAUGAUGGGAGCAACGCCGGACCAGUGUUGAACAUCCCAAAGCAAGUACUUUGAGAAUGAAAGUGUGGGAGCCUGGAUGACUCCUCCUGCAUUUGUCUAAAAAUCCUCCUUAGCACCUUUAGUUCCUUUUCUCCCUUCCUCUGCUCCUGGGCACCAGACAAGCAAUCCCAAAUGUGGUGUCUUUGCACCGGUCAGAUCAGAGUUCUCAUCUGGGGUGGUUUAAAAACAACAUGGCCCCAUUCCUUGACAUUCUCCCCUUUGAAAGAUGGGAUCUGGGUCCUUUCCUUGAGUGUUGUGAUGGCUUCAAGCAGUAGUCACACAAGGGCACGCAGCUCCUGCCUGGUUUCUUUGGGAUGCCAUUCUGGGGAAGUACUCAGACUCCGUGCUGAAGAAGCCACAUGUACAUGCCCUGGUCCAUGGUCUCAGCUGAGCUCGCAGCCAGCACCCAGCACUGGCCGACAGCCAUGCCGGCUGCCAUCUUGGAUGUUAGGACCAUUUGCACUUUCAAAUGACCACAGCCCAGUGACAUCUGACUACAGGGUCAUGAGAAACACCCAGCCAAGCCCUUCCCGAAUUCCUGACCAAAAACUCAUGAGUAACAUAAAACGAGUAUUGUUUUACAACGCUAAGUUUUGCAGUAACUUGUACUCAGGAAUAGUAACCAGGACGCCACCCUAACCCUUCCCUAUGGACUAAGCAAUCUUGAGCAAAUUUCCUUUAAUACUCUGGGCAUGAGAUUUCUCAUGUGUGAGUUUGGAGUGACAGUCUAUAUUUAUGUGGCUGUUGUUUAGAUCAAAAGCAAAUUUUGUCUCAAACCUAGCAAGGUUCCCAGCACAUCCUGCCUUUCCUCAAAUCUAAGAUGCCGUCCAUUAUACAACUCACACUUAACUUAUGUGCCACUAAGAAAGAAACAAAUGCUUUCUAUUAAACUACUGAAUGCCACUGGUUGUAGGACACACACCUGUCUGGGAGAUGUUGAAAUUUGCAAAGAUGUGUAUCUUAGGAUCUUUGAUUUAAAGAGAGAUUAACACAAUCAUCUAGUUAAGUACAGGCACAGAACAAGACCACCGAGAUUUGAGUUUGUGAGAAACGGGGAACUUAAAGCAAAUGUGUCUUUGUAUGAAAGUCUCUAAUUUGCUGUCCCAUUUUACACAAUAGAAUGCAAAGAUCAGUAGAGACAACCUUGUAGUUCAGGCAGAAAGCACCUUCCUCAGGCAGCUGUCAAAGGGUUAGAAUUCAAAUGACAUGGCAUCACAGUUAUUUAACAGAAAUGUAUCUUGCAGAAGAAAGGAAGUCAGAUCCCUAAGUGUGGCUGUGAGUAAUAGUUUUUCUUAGUGGAAACUCACCUCUAGUAAUUAGUAAUAGACCAACCCCCUUUUCUCUUUGGUUUUUGAAUCGUUUCUUUUUUAGAACAUUAACUAGUAGUUCCGUGAGAGAUGUCAGCCAGUGAGCAAAAGGGGUCUGGGCAGUGAGCAGGAUGGCAGGAGACCCAGGCCACAUCUAGUGGAGCAGAAACACAAAGAAGCAUCAGAGUGUCAGCAGACUUGAAGCUAAGCCUGAAUAUGGAGUGCCUCAUUUAGUCAGUUCAGCCACGCAGAGUGUUCCUAUGUUGGCCCUCAUUUGAAAUGUGAGCCCGCUUCAGGACCAGUGAAGUGGAAUGUCUUGCUCAAAGUUACAUAGCUUGGUUCAUUAGACAGAGAGCCUAUGCUCUUAGCCACAGUGCUGUGUGCAUCAAAAUGUUUGCAAAGACAUGGAAGUGGGUUCAUAUGAGACUCUAGCCGGCCCAGGACUCUCAGCACAGCUAUCUUUCCAGCCUUACCCAAACAGGGAAUUCCUUUUCAUACCUCCUUGCUUUUGCCAAAGGGAGUUUUCUACCAAUCAGUUUCUUCUUGCCUCCCCCUUUUCCUGGUGAAACCAAACCAUCCUUCAAGGCCCAGCUCAAAUGGGGCAUCUUAACCCUUGUUCCUACAGGGUGAUUCCUAGCUGCCCUGGACUCCCAGGGCAUUGUCCCCGGGGCCCCUUGGCUGGCCCUCCUGGUGGUGUUGGUGGUUUCUGUUGGUCACACCUAUGAGACUGGAAGUUUCCUGAGGCUCUGGAAUUAGACUGAGUCAGAAUCCCACCUCUACAACUUACAGCUUGUGUUCUUGGGCAAGUUUCUUAGCUUUCUGGGCUUUAAUUUUCUCAUCUACAAAAUGAGAAUAUCAACUUCCCAGGAUUGUCAUGAAAAUUGUGUGUUUGCUGAGAUGGCAUCGUGAGGGCUGAACACUGUUCUUAUGUGAGAGGCGCUUGCUCAGUCUCUGCGUGCGUCAUCUCCUUUCGUCUUCACGCCCACCCUCUGAGGUUGGUUCUUUUACCAUCAUGCCCAUUUACAGAUGAGGUGACACCGUAUGCUCAUGGCCCCACAGCCAGAAUGUGACAAAACUGGGCUCUAAUCUUACCUUUUAAAACUCGCCUCUCUUGACAGGAUCCCGGCGGAAACCUUCCAUGGACUGCAUUCUGAGGAGGUUUUGUCACGUACCAACCUCUUUAGAUGUGCUUUAAUUUGGGUCUUAAUUUCCAACUCAUUCUUAUCUAGGAGAUCUUUACCCUGAUUUGAAGGAAAAUGAUGCUGCAACCAGCUUAGUCUCAGUAGAAGGUUUACACACAGCAUGUGCCAAUAACAGGUACUUCCACCCUUGGGCUCUUCCGGGUGGUGACUUAUCAGCACCACAAUUGUCCAUUUAUAUUGUGAACCAAACACAUGGAUCAGACUAUUGGCCUUGAAAAGCUCAAGCACAGCCUUCAGUGAAAUUCAGUUUCCACUUCAUUCUUUAGUCCAAAGGUUGUGACAAUGGCAGUCUCCGUCUCCCUCGUAUGACUUGGCUGGUUGGGUUUCUCUCUGGUUGACUGUAUUCCUGGCCUCUUGGGGACCCUCUAAAAUGGCAGGCAGAGGAAAGGAGGCAUUUCUGUGUGCUGCCUUCAUUUGUUCCUCAAGGGGUUUCGGCUAAACUCCCUAAACAAAAUGAAUUUGAUUUUAUCUGCCAGAGAACAUUCUAAGUAAAAAGAUCAAGAGCCAUCACCCCAUUGAGCUCUCUCCCCACAUCUCGAGAAGGCUGGGCUCCUUGGAGUGGAGAGUGGGCUGGGACCCCAUUCUGGCAGCAUAGCGGAGAUCUUCCUGCCUCAGUGUGGAUCUGGUGAAUGCUGAGGGACUCAGGGUGGGCUCCGAGGUGGACUCAUUGUCCCAGCUCACUGUGCAGACAGGGCAGUAAGUGCCAGGCCUGGGACUGUGGCCGUAACCUUGGCCGGUGGUCGGCCUUUACUUUCAGCAGCAGCAGAGGGAUCGUAACUGUGGUAGAGAAGGAUGUCGAGGCAGAAAUUGUUGAGGAUCUACACUGUGUCAAGCACUGAGAGAGUUUCUUCAGAUAUUUGGGAUUUUGAACGUAUCUACUCUUCUAAUUUAUUUCCAUCGUCCUCAGAGAACAUGUUCUGUGUGAUUUCGCUCCUUUGAAAUGUAUUGAGAGUGAUCUCGUGGUUCAACAUAUGGCCUGUCUUGGGGAACGAUGCAUGUGAACUUGAAAAGAAUGUGUCCUCUACAGGUUUGGGGUGGCGUGUUCCAUAGACAUUGGUUGUGAAAGACCCAGGACUCCGCCUGGUACAGAACAAUCUUCACUCUGCGGCGCCCCCAGGGGAGGGCAAGUGGGAGACAUCCAUGUGGGUGAAGAGGCACGGCCAGCCCCCCAACCCCAGGUGGCAGACUCUAUGCCAACUUGUCCUCCAUGUGGCCCCCAUAAGAAGAAAGGCCAAGAACUCUAAAAAGACCUCUGAGGCCAAGAGAAAAUGUCCAGGGAUUUGCUCGACGGAGAGAAGCUGGCCCUUGGAGAUGAGGAGGGGUGUAUGUACGUAAGACUCUCUCUCCCCAGCUGCUCUCUCUCUUCUCCUCAGGCCUUCAGCAAACAUUUAUCAGAGACUUGCUCUUCCUGGUAGCUGUUCUAUGUGUGGGGAUGUAAGGAUCAACAUUGCCCCUGUCCUCCCAGAAUUUUCAGGCCACCGGGAAUACAGAAGGACAGAACGACAAGCCCCCGGAUUCCUAAGCCCCAACGAGAGGACCAUUCAGGAACCACUGAAGGCUGAGUUCACCAAGUGGCUGUAAGACAUGGAGUAUGUAACGUGGCAGCGUGGAGAACAGGGAAGACCCGGAGCUGGGCAAUGCUGGCCUCUACCAUGUCUGUCCACUAACACAUCAUCACUUCGGAUGGGACUGCUGAGGCCUGGUGAAAUCUGAGAAAGCCUUGUUGGAGUCUUGCUGUUGGGUAUGCAAGCAAAUUUUAUUCGACACAAAAAACAGGAGAGAAGUGUACUUACGCAAAGAGACUCUGAAGCACCUGCUGUAACAGACACAUCUCACAGGCUCCUACUUGAAGCUCAAAUAAGAUUCCCAGAUUCUUCAUGAAUUUGUUUUCUGCACUUGGCUUAGCAACUGACUGCAGAGACCUAAUGUGUUCUCACUUUUGCACGCACUCGUUGCUCUUGGGGGUAUGGUGGAAGCAGCAUGGAUGUUGGCUGGGGACAACUGGGCCUCUUGGUUCUACCAUUCAAGUUCAGAACUUCACUUGCCUGGAUUGGAAUGUGUGGAUAAGCACGCCUAGUUGUCAGAGCUAUGGAGGAACUUUAAUGGAAAAUUGUUGGAGUGAUGAAAGCGUGUUUGUCCAUUUCCACAAAAGAAGAUGGAAUAUAAGGAAACGCUCCCAGUCUGCCCUCAAGGAAGGCGUUAUUCAUCAGUGUGUGGCCCAUUCAUAGAGAACUCUCUUUUUCCACAUCUUGCCACCACAUGUAAGCAGAACAGGCCUCUAUCUACUAGGCUGUCAACUCCAUUUCUCAGUCAGUCCCCAGGUGGGAGAGGCAGGUUGCACAUCCUCGUAUAGAUGGAGGAAUAGAUAAGAGAGCUCAGAGACUGCAUGGAGAAGCAGCCAUUCUAGAACAUGAGUGGCUUCACUACAGACCUGAGCCUGAGCUACACCUGCAACUGAGUUUGGCCAAGAAAUCCUGUUCUCUUUGGGGAGGAGGACUGAUAAUUGUGUGCUUGCCCUCCUAGUAUGUGCAUUUUAGAUUCUCUUGAGCGUGGAAUUUAGCCCCUAAACUGGAUGGAGGGCUCAGAGUUGGAAAGGAGGAUGACGUCUGGAAGGGAUGGAAGAAGCAUCUGUGCAAAGAGGCGGGAGAGGGAACCAGGAGACCUGGUUGCUGGAUCAUGAUUUUGCCAAUCCCAGAGAUUCCUCUCCAGACACUUGUAACACUGCUUCAGGAAGACUUUCCCAACAUCUGGAGAAUUUCUGUGUUCCCUCUGCCAGUCUGGGAUGCCUAUGUACCAUGUUGCUGGGUCUGGGAUUCAGGCUGAAGCCAAAGGCAGUUAUCCUUUAAAGUAUCCAGCUGUAAAAAGCCACAGCCAUCCUCAUGCUCUGGGUUGCCCAGAAAUUCCAAGAAGUUUUCUUCUGCCUCACUGACGGGAACAGACUGGAAUGCACUACCGCUGAUAACAGAAGAGGCUAAAGGCCACGGAAGCAGGCAGCCCCAGGAGCAAAUCCUUGCGCCACCACUUUCUGCUCAAAGAUAUCGUACAAGUUACUUAGCCUUGGUCUUAGGUCACAUUUCCUGGGAAAGAGAAACUGAGACUGAAGUUUGUGAGGAGGCUAAUUGGGGAGUGAGCUCAGGAAGAACACUUGAGAUGGGGAGGAAGGCAGGAUUGUGCAGAGGGAGGAGUUGGGCCAUGAUGCAGUUUUAGUGGAAACCACCGGCAAUCUCACAGGGACCCUGGAGCUGGGAUGACCCUGCAGAGUUGUCCCAGUUGAGGAUAAGUGAUGGGGCUUUUGUACAUCCAUGUUGACUGGUCCCAGAUGCUGUCUGCCUUCUGAGAAAAGGGAUGAGAUGAAAGCUCCGUUUGGCCGAGUCUUGGGACAGCAGCCAGAGCUCCUGGUAGCAGGCAGAAUGGGUGCCUUCAGCCUGAGAGGGCACCUGGGUAGCCACUACAGCUUUGCCAACAUGCUCAAUAUAUCACAGGAUCAAGGAGGUGUCCUUGGUCACUUGACCUAAAAUUGCAACCCCUUAAUCUCAUAUUCCCUCUACCCUGUCUUUAAUCCAUAGUAUUUAUGGUGAACUGACAUACUUUGUACUAAUUUGUCUAUUGUCUUUCUGGAUCUGCUCUACAGUGUACUCCAAGCUACUUAAGAGCAGGGACUUUGUUUUGCUGGUGACUGUAUGCCCAGUUCCUAAAACAGGAGUUGGCAUGGAGUGAACUCUCAAUAAAUAUUUAAUUGAAUGGAAUAAAUGAAUAAAUAAAUAUAACACAUAGUGAGUGUUCACUAUAUGAGAAGCAUUCAAGUUCUCAGCACUUGCAGUAAGUAAUAUUCACAACAACUCCAUAGGGAGACCCUAUUAUUAUCCCCAUUUUACAGAUGAAGAAACUGAGGCACAGCAAGUUUAACUGUCUUGCCAAGGCCAUGCAGCUUAGAUGUCUUAUAUUCAAGAUCAGAAGAGGCAACAGGAUUCAUAUUCCAAGGCACUCUCCCCUCCUCCCUCUUCAGCAGACGCUCAGUCAGAGCCAGCUAUUCCUUCCCUUCCUUCCUUCCUCUCUUUGCUGUCUCCUGGAAUGCUUGUAUGGGAAUCACAGAGUCGCACGCUUCAGAUAUCUGGGGUGAAUCUUUGGUGUUUUAUGCAUUCAAAGGGUGAGAGCUUGGCUGAGCUCAAACUGCUGCCCUCUCUUCCCAUUUUCUCCAUACUGGUGCCUUAGAACCUGGUCAAGUCACACAACUUGGUAUUUUUUUCUUUAUUACUAUUUUUUUUUAACAGCUGUUGACAAAUGCAGAGGCUAUUAUGGUUUAUGGUGUUCCUUUGCAUGCACCAUCUCAUUUGAUCAGCUCAACAGCCCAGGGAUAUGGGCAGUGCAAGGAUGGCCACUGCAGUUUAUCGAUGAGGAACCAGAGGCUCAGAGAGGUUGCGUGAAGCUAUUUGGAAGAAGGGUUUCGUUUCUAGUUAUAAGUCUGCUGGUCAGGUUCAGUCUGUGGGUAGGAUUUUGUCUGCAUGUCAGUUUCCAGAGUACUCCACACAUCUCUCAUUCCUGGAUCUAGGCUGAAGAAGCAACAGGCACUUGCACCCCACUUCUCGUGGUGAAUGCAGGAGUGGCAGAGUGAGAUUGGAAACACAGAAAGCUCAAAACUGACCUCCUGUCACUUUCACCUACAGCCCAUUGGCCAAAAAGGAACCCUGAACUGGAGCCAGGAGGCCUUAUUCAAAUCACUGCCACUAACUAUACUUGUGACUGGUCAGGUUGAUUUCCCAUCUGUGUGACGGGAGUCAGAAAACAGUGGGAGACUGUGUUCUCUGUGCAAAGCCUGCCCAGCGCCCAAGAAAUGUGAGUCCCCUUUUCGUAGCAUGCCUUCCAGGUAUGACAUUCCAUGACAAAGUGAUGUAACCUGUCCCUUUUGAACUUCAUUCCUAAAUCUUCCUUCUCCAUUUUUUCUUCUUCCUUCUUUUUCUCUUGUUAUCCUGGAGGGAUCAUUCAGUGGUGGAGCCGGAAUGAUGGAUAUGCCAGGGUGGCUGAACUGUUGGCUCAUCUGGAAUUAUCCAGAUUGUGGGCUACUCAAUCAUGAAACAUUCAUUGAGCAUCUAAAAUUUGCCAGCGGAAGAGGUGAUCUUUCCCGCGUGUGAUGUAAAUUCAUUGCAGGAUGCAUAUACCAGAAAAACGCUACAAGGGGGCACUCCAAUGGACUCUAAGCUCAAAUUCAACAUUAAACCAAAAGGAGGUGAGGGUGCAAAUGAUGUCCGAAAAGGUUCUUAUUUUGAAUCAUUUACUGGAAACACCAUGGUCGCGUUAGAAACUUUUUUGUGAGUGAGAAGAAAAUUGCAAGACUGACCAGAUUCAAGAGUGAAACUCAUCUGUGUCAAUGUGUGUUGGCCCAAGUAAGACAGUCAUUCAAACACACCGCCCUUUUACUAACAAGGUGUGUGAGGCAGCUGAUCUCCUGCUCAUCCCCCAGUUAUAUCUGUGGGCUUUGUGGUGAAUGAACAUGGAUUGUCGUUUCAUCUCCUAAUCAACAAGAGAAUGAGUACUGGGCACAUCACAGCCUUCUUGUGCUUUGGGACACUGGACAGCACUUCAGCACUACCAUCGGGGGCCAUUUUAAACAGCGAACCAACAAAAAGCGCAAAAGCGCGAAAAAUGUGGUGCUAAAUAGAUCAGGAAAAGGACACCUGUUUACAAUAAGACAGCUGAAACAAGAAGGGAGAGCAUCACUCUGUUGGACUAUAGCUGGGGAUGCACACAACGCGUAAGGCAAAAUUUUGGUGCUCUGCACAAGUGUUAUGAAGGACCCUGAAAGAGCUGUGGCUAUUGAUUUUGCGGUUACAAAUAAAUUUCAGCAGGUAAGAAAAUACACAAAUAUGGAAUCCACGAGUAAUGAGGAUUGACUGUAUUCACCAUGUUUAACAGGGCUGAGUUAUAACAUCACACUUUGCCACUAGGUGUUACCAUACCACACAAGAGCUACUUCAACGCUGAGUUUCCUUCAAGUUCUCUAACAUAAACCAGGGCCCCGUUCGCUCACAUCUUUGUGUUCCUAGCUUUGUAGAACAGGCUUGCCUAAAUCAGUGGAUCUUUUUAAAAGUGGAAUGAGUAUACUAAGAAGACAGUGGGGAGCAAACUCUUUAUUUUACUACUACUACUAGGCAUCAGAAGUUGGGACUUCUCUGUAGCAAGUGUUUACGUCAUCGUCAACAAUUUGCCAAUGACGCAUAUAAAUUCAGUUUGGGGGAAGCAGUGAAAAUGGAAAGAGUUAAGCGGAGGGGGAAAAGGUUCAGGGAAGGUGCCUUCCAGGAGAUUUAAUUUACCAGGAGCAUUGAAAAGAAAGCAUCACCAUCGAGUGCCAGGAAUGGCUUUGCCAUCAGGCUGUAAGGGACAUUCAGCAGAGGCCCUGUGGGUUGUGUAUGAAGUUGUCCCCCAAGGGUUUGGAAAGUCCAGAUUCAUCCUGAAAGAAGACAUAUUUGCUUAGCUAUUUGCUUGCUGAGUAAACAUGACCACCACAGAACUGUUUUUAGCUGCUUCUCAUGGAGGGGCAGUCCAGCUGGUUUGAUGGCCCAGACAUGUGGUGCUGGGUGUGGGAUGGAUCUUCCCCGAAUACCCUAUUUUAUCUUCUUGCUUCACAGUUCCGGAGUCUUCAGUGGCUCCCAAAGGUCCACAGCCAAAUUCCUUGGAGUGUUACCCCAGAGACCGACACAAUACGACCUUGGCCUAUUUUUCACAUCUCCCCAUCCUUUCCCACUGUAGCUAGAAAGAGGCUUUUCUAUAUGGCUGCUAAACAAAAUGUCAUACACCUAUUUCCACAUUUUUGCACCCCAUUACCAACAUACGUGCACUUGAUUCCAUUUCCUCACCACCUGAGUAGGAAAACCCACC
ensembl:lncRNA